rnacentral:rRNA from 1 species
UACGAAGGGGGCUAGCGUUGUUCGGAAUUACUGGGCGUAAAGGGCUCGUAGGCGGCCAACUAAGUCAUACGUGAAAUCCCUCGGCUUAACCGGGGAACUGCGUCUGAUACUGGAUGGCUUGAGUUCGGGAGAGGGAUGCGGAAUUCCCAGUGUAGAGGUGAAAUUCGUAGAUAUUGGGAAGAACACCGGUGGCGAAGGCGGCGCUCUGGACCGAGACUGACGCUGAGGCGCGAAAGCGUGGGGAGCAAACAGG